rnacentral:lncRNA from 1 species
CUUUAAUUGUUUUUCAACUCAGGUCAGAUUUCCUAACACGGCCUCAUUGCCAUUGGGUUCUAUCCAGUUGAUCCAAAUCCCUUUUGAAGUCAGUGCCCAGCCUGGCUGGUGGGCACCCUUGCAGCUGCAUGGACACAGUAGAGCCACAUGCUGCCGUCCAGCUGCACCUCCCAGAGAUGGCUCAUCAGAGACCCACCAUCUAUUAAUCUGUAGGUAACAACGUGGAGUGAUGUUAUAUGGGAUAAUAUUUCAAAGAAUCAUGGAAUUAUGAAGGUUGGAAAAGAUCUCUCAGAUCCCCAAGCUCAACCCACCCCUACCAUGCCCACUGACCAUGACCCUCAGUGCCACAUCUCCAUGGUUCUUGCCUGAACACCACCAGGGAUGGCUAUUCUAUCACCAUUCUGGGCAGCCCGUGCCAACACAAAUUGUAGUAGUUAUUUUGUUUAUCUUAUCACAAUCUGAAUGUCACAAUAUCCAGAUGUUAUUGUAGGGAAAUCUUUAACUAUCAUAUAACCAUCAAAAGAGUAUAAAAGGUGGUAUGAAACACUUGGCUAAUUGUAAAUUCCCUUUUUUAAGAGUCCAGCAUGAAUGAUAAUGCUCAAAUAUUUUAGUUGGCUGUGGAAACCCCUUUGAUCAAGGUUACAACAGUGUGUUAUAUUAUGCUAAUUAUGCUGCUGUUACUACUACAACUUGAAACUUGCUCUCAUUAAAGAUGAACAAUUCCAGCAAUCUACCAAACAUUCCUACUUAACAAAAUGAGGAAAUUCUUUUGAUCAAGAAUAGCAUCUUUGUGAAGAGGUGCGGAUGUCAGGGUGCCUGCAUUAUAAUCUGGUUUGUGGCAAUUCAUUGUCUUUAGUUUUCUCAGCAGGAGGAGAUGAUGUGGAUGGAAGAUGUUGGGCUGAGAUAUCAGGAGAUCUGCCUCUGCCAGCCCAUCAGGAGGAGGCUUCUAAAAAGGGUCAAAGGAAAGCAGGCUAAGAACAAAAACCUGAGGAAUACUGAAUUUAACUGCAUAAAAAAUACAACAUUUUGUCUUUAAUCCAAGUGUAAGUACUCUAAAGCAAGAGGACGCUUGCUUUAGCAAACAGCUGAACUCCAAUAUAAGAUGUCCUGAGUCAUCAGGUUGGUUUUCUCAGGCAAACUCCUUUAGGUUUUGCACACCUGGCAUUUUUGUUUUGUGGUAGCACACACUCAGUCUCACGUAUUCUGUCUCAGUGUUGCAUGGCCAAAAGCUGAGCUCUGCUGUCAGAACAGCAGCUAAUUGCUGAUAUGUUAUCAAGACUGCAGUGCAAUACCUUGGGUGUUUUAUAGUCUUUAUGGUACUUUAUUUUACAUCAAACUUCCUCCUGCUGUGAUUUCGAUAUGUACAGUAGAAAGGAGGAAUAAACUCCAGGU